CCUACGGGAGGCAGCAGUGGGGAAUAUUGGGCAAUGGAGGACACGCUGACCCAGCAACGCCGCGUGAAUGAUGAAGGUCUUCGGAUUGUAAAGUUCUUUUCUAAGGGAAGAAGAUAGUGACGGUACCUUAGGAAUAAGCCUCGGCUAACGACGUGCCAGCAGCCGCGGUAAUACGGAGGAGGCAAGCGUUAGCCGGAAUGACUGGGCGUAAAGGGUGCGUAGGGGGUUUAACAAGUUAGUAGCGUAACUCCGGAGCUCAACCUCGGCACGAUUACCAAAACUGUCGGACUUGAGUGCAGGAGGGGCAAAUGGAAUUCCUGGUGUAGCGGUAGAAUGCGUAGAUAUUAGGAGGAACACCAGUGGCGAAGGCGAUUUGCUGGACUGUAACUGACACUGAGGCACGAAAGCGUGGGGAGCAAACAGGAUUAGAUACCCGAGUAGUC
rnacentral:rRNA from 1 species